ensembl:lncRNA
GAGGCCAUUGUGUCUUUUGGAAAAUCUUUUAUGUUGAAUUAUGUGACCCACAAAAAUUUCCAAAUUGAUAUUUGACGGCAUGGUUCUUAAGAAAUUAAGGGUGUUUUUCCUCAGAAGUGUGACAGCCCGGCUCAAGGGAAUGACAAGGAGGAGACCACACAUGGUUUUAGUUCAACUAUAAUUGUUUAUUUAACCAACUACAGAUAAAGUAAAUUAAAGUGACGCAUGUCAAUCAGUAAUGAGUGCUGUGUGUGGAUGAGUGGGGAAUGUAAUGUAUGUGCAAAGCAAAGCUAACCCAAAACCCUCAACAAACCAUACGUCAAAGGAGAGAGAGAUCAAGUGGCUGACUCCUACAGUUUAUAUAGCUGAGGAGCUCAGCCUGCAUGGGUGUUAGUCAUUACACUGAUCACUCAAUCAGGAGGUGCCAGAGGGCUGUCACACCCCCCUCCAUAAGAACGGGGUUCACACCGUAACCUUGUAUGCUCAAACCUGACACACAUUGAGCAGUAUCAACACUUUUGUCCUCACAUUCGGCGGCAGGUCAGCAGCUCCGCUGGACUCCCGGCCAGGCAGUCACAUGGCAAACUGACAAAUUAGACAUCUAUUUUUGCAUGGAAUAUCCCUGCUUCUGAAAUACGCGAACAUCUCCGCCCAGUGCUCGUCCACUGGUCUACAAAAUCUUAGCUAUGCUCUGAUUGGAGGGGGGUGGAGAAGUGGGAGGCAAUAUUCAAAUGUGCCCCAUUCCUGCGUAGGAGAGGGCGCCUAAACUGACUCACUCGUUUGGUAACUGUAGGCGGGGUACUUUCAGUAAUGCAUAUCGCACUCAAAAAAUUAUGUACAGACUUUUUUCAGAGUUUGUAUGUGUGUGGGAGCACAACAUCCCAAAUCCCAGGAAAAGUGUUGUUUUCAUAAUAUGUCCCCUUUAAGAAGUCAAAGGGUCCCACUCUGUGCACCUUGUUUGAGGCAUGCAGGCUGACGCCCAGAGGCAAGUGAAGGAACUGCAGUAUGGUGAGGUCAUCUCCCCCCUGGUUUUUUUACACACACCGAAGAAAGGGGCAGAGACGGGAUAAAAAUAGGAUUGGAAUGCAACAAUGCUAAUGCACUCUUGUAAAGCUGUAGCAUAUAUGGAGGAGAUUUUGUCAUUUGGCCUAUAAAUCCACUGGUAGGGUGCAUUUAAUGACAUUGUUAAUUAAUGUGUAGAAACAGGUUUAUUUGAUCACCCCUUGUAGCGGGAGUGUUCUUUUAGUUCCUUGAUUUGUGCAUAUUUGUCUUAGCCUAACACAGGAUUUUGUGAGUUAUUACGUAUUUUCCAUAUGUGCUCUUCCAACACAACUAUGUUUGCAUAGAUAUCUUGAACACUCACAUGAGCGCGCACACACACACACACACACACACACACACACACACACACACCUUCAGAAUUGUUUGUACCAAAAGCAGAGCAAUCCAGACCUUUCCAUUAAAUUGCACCAAACAUACAUUUGGCCUUGUAUCUUCCUUCAGUCUAC